rnacentral:rRNA from 1 species
AUGACAACGCCCCGUAGCAUGAUCUUGAGCCUUUCCUUCAUAGUAGCCUCUGCAGGCCUUGCCAUCCAAGGCAGAACCUGCAGUUGCCUGCAAUUUAACUACCCCAGCUUCGACAUGACCAACAAGAAUGAUUUCAGCUUCAGCCCAGGUUCAGCAAUUGCAAAUGGUUCCCUGAGAAUCGUGCCGAACACCGGAAACUCGAGCCACCAGUCGGGAAGGGUGGUAUACGUAAAGGAAACCCUCAAGCUGUGGAACAGGAAGCGAACUGUGCUCACAUCUUUCAGGACGCAGUUCACGCUCAACAUCCUCCCGGGAGAAGGUAUGGCUUUCAUACUCACAAAUAGCCUGUCGUUGCCCAGGAACAGCGGCGGCCAGUGGCUCGGCAUAUGCAACAACCAGACAGAUGGCGCGCCAACGAACCAAAUAGUAGCCGUGGAAUUCGACACGAGAAAGAGCUACCAUGACGACCUCGACGGCAACCAUGUCGGGCUCGACUUGAACAGCAUCAAAUCUGUUUAUCCGUACCCGCUCAGCAAUCUUUCGAUCAUCCUGUCAAGCGGCUCGGAUGUCUUGGUUAGUAUCAUCUACAACAGCACAUCAAAUGCUUUUGUAUUAUCUGUAAGCCAGCGCAACACAAGUGGCAGUGGGGGGCAUAAUUGGCGAGAGAGCUGGCCGGUUGAUCUAUCACGGUACCUACUGGACGAAAUAUAUCUGGGAUUUGCAGGUUCCACGGGUGAUUACACCCAACUGAACCAGAUAAAAUCGUGGAACUUCACCACGAUAGACGACAUACUCGUCGCUGAAAGAACAAGACAUGGGAAGUGGGUGUUUUUGGUUCUCAUUGCCUUGGUUUUGCUCAUUACAUGUUCAUCGUUUCUUGUGUUGUUGGUGCGGAGAAGGGUGACACAGCGGAGAAGGCUAGCCUACCGCACGCUUGAGAAAAUGAUCGACGCACAUGGCCCGGUUAGAUUUAAGCUCAAGGAGUUGAAGCACGCGACCGCCAACUUCAGCCCUCACCGUAAGCUCGGUAGAGGUGGCGGCGGCACUGUUUACCUUGGAUACCUGAAUGGGAUCAACAGAGAGGUGGCUGUGAAGCGGGUCUCACUCUCAAGCCGAGGAGAGAAGGAGUUCGUGGCGGAGGUGAACACGAUCAGCAAGCUCUCCCACCGCAACCUUGUCAAGCUGAUCGGCUGGUGCCACGAGGGAGGCGAACUACUCCUCGCCUACGACUACUUCCCCAUGGGCAGCCUGGACAAGCUAUUGUUCGCCAAUGCCACGACGACCACGUACUCGUCAUCGGCGCUCACAUGGGAGCGGCGAUACAGGAUAAUCUGUGGUGUGGCAUCUGCACUCGACUACCUUCACCACGGGAGCAGCAAGAGGAUCCUCCACAGGGACGUCAAGCCCAGCAAUGUGAUGCUCGACGAGGCAUACAACGCGCGGCUGGGCGACUUCGGCCUCGCCCGUGCCAUCCAGCUCGACGGAGCGACACACCACUCGACGCAGGCGGUUGCUGGCACACGGGGCUACAUGGCGCACGAGAGCUUCUUCACCGGUCGUGCCAGCCUCGACACGGACGUGUACGCCUUCGGCGUCUUUGCCAUGGAGGUUGUCAGCGGGAAGAGCCCAAGCAGGUCCAUGCUAUAUGACACACAAGAAAUACACAUUGUGGAUUGGGUCUGGAGGCAUUACAGCCUGGGGAAAGUCAUGGAAACAGCCGACGCGGUGCUUGGAGGAGUGUAUGACGAGAUGCAGGCGGAUUCUGUGGUGCGGCUGGCCUUGGCUUGCUGCCACCCGAACCCGAGGGAUCGACCGUCCAUGCGGACGGCGGUGCAGGUGCUAAUCGGUGGAGCGCCUGCCCCGACUCCCCCAUUUGAGAGGCCUGCCUUUGUUUGGCCACUGUCAGGCAUGCAGCAGGAGAUGGAGCUGCCGCAGGUUGGUGUGCUCUUCACGGGAGGACAGCUCAUCACCUCCACUUCCCUCACAGGAAGGUGA